rnacentral:lncRNA from 1 species
AAAAUGGCGUGACCCCAAACCGAAGUGGGCAGCCUCGUUUUCAUGAGUAAAUGAGGUAUUUAUGAUUAUUCUCAUCUAUUGUCUCAACAUGAUAUCCAUUUUGACUGAUAUCUUUAAGACUCAACAAGUUUCUCUUGGACUUGGAGGAGAACAUUGCAUUCUCUAUGAUAAAUAUUGUACCUUUAGGCAGAGUUAUAGUUGCUCUUCCGGAGCCUUCAAUCAAUUUACUACUACCAGAAAUUGUAGUAACAUCUGCCUUACACAUACUUAAAUGAGAGAAAUAUUUCUUCUCUUUGAAUAUCGUAUGUGUGGUACAUGAAUCAAUUAAACUAAUAUUUUUACAAUUGGACGUUGAUCCAAGUUUGCUUUGUGAGAUAUCCAUAUUUGCUU